AUGAGCCCAAAGGAGCAUGAUAUAUUGAAGGAGAAAGUGGAGGAAUUGCUGCAAAAGGGGCACAUUCGAGAAAGUAUUAGCCCAUGUGCUGUACCAGCCCUACUCGCGCCAAAGAAAGAUGGAUCUUGGUGCAUGUGCACGGACAGUAGAGCCAUUAACAAGAUCACCGUACGGUAUAGAUUCCCGAUUCCCCGUCUAGUUGAUAUGUUGGAUCAGCUUAGUGGAGCAAGAGUGUUUACAAAGCUAGAUUUAAGAAGCGGAUAUCAUCAAAUCCGUAUCAGACCCGGGGAUGAAUGGAAAACCGCCUUCAAGACAAAGGAAGGGUUGUUUGAAUGGCUAGUCAUGCCAUUUGGACUCUCAAAUGCACCAAGUACCUUUAUGUGCUUAAUGAAUCAAGUCCUCCGACCUUUCUUGUCCCACUUUGUUGUGGUCUAUUUCGAUGACAUCUUGAUCUAUAGCAAGGAUGAGGAUGAACACUUUGAUCACAUUCAGAAGGUGCUAGAAGUACUAAGGGAAAAUGAGCUCUACGUCAACUUGAAGAAAUGUGUUUUCCUGCAAACACAACUUCCUUUCCUAGGAUUCGUCAUAACAUGUGACGGUAUUCGUGUUGAUGAUUCUAAGGUUGAAGCAAUCCGAGAAUGGCCAACUCCGAAGACCAUUUCUGAGGUAAGAAGUUUUCAUGGCCUUGCAACUUUCUAUAGGCGAUUUGUGAAGAAUUUCAGCACUAUCAAGGCACCAAUUACCGAGUGUUUGAGGAAAGGAAAGUUCCAAUGGACAGAAGCAGCUGAAGCUAGUUACAAUGAGAUUAAACAAAAACUAUCACAAGCUCCUGUCUUGGUGCUACCUGAUUUCAACAAGACUUUUGAGUUUGAGAGUGAUGCAAGUGGAGUAGGCAUUAGAGCUGUCCUAUCUCAAGGAAGGAAGCCCAUUGCUUUCUUUAGUGAAAAGUUAAGUGAAGCUAGACAGAAAUGGAGUACCUAUCAGCAAGAAUUAUAUGCCGUUUUCAGAGCGUUGAAAACUUGGGAAGUCUAUUUGCUGCCUAAAGAAUUCAUUGUUUAUAGUGACAAUCAAUCCUUGAAGCAUUUUAGAAAUCAAAAGCAUGUUGACCGCAUGCUAGCGAGAUGGGCAACAUAUCGUGCAUAA
rnacentral:rRNA from 1 species